rnacentral:lncRNA from 1 species
UGAACGUCAUUUGUGCGUUUAGGGGCGUCGUCACUUCCAUUCCAAUGUUGAGCGAGUGGUUGGAAAACUAUAAUUCUAUAUUGUACGAAUUAUACGACAAAUUGAAUUAUCAAAAUUGACAAUCAGCAUUGAUGUCAUUAGGGAAUUGUCAUUAAGUACCUACAGAACAACCAUUAUUUCUAGUUUAUCCUGCACAAUGACGAUCACCAAGAGGCUUGAUGAACGUAAAUAGUGCAGGGAUACAGGCGACCCCCUCUAUCUGGUAAAUGACGUCAUAAAGGCGCAUAUAAUUGACGAGUUUUUUCCGGUGACGGAUGAACUCGAAAGUGGUCUAUUAUUCUGUAUUAAGGUGGUAUGGGUGUCUUCCUCCAUCUUGGAUUGUAAAAAACAGAGAAUCAAAGGUCCAGAUUUUCCAUCAAGUUAGCAAAAUUUGAUGCAGGAAUGCAGAUGUUUAAUGUACAUUUUCAUUUAAAAGUACCAAUUUAUAAGAAUAUAACUUCUAAAUAUUGAUAUUUU